rnacentral:rRNA from 1 species
GCAGUAGGGAUCUUCCACAAUGGACGAAAGUCUGAUGGAGCAACGCCGCGUGAGUGAAGAAGGUUUUCGGAUCGUAAAACUCUGUUGUUGGAGAAGAAUGUAUCUGAUAGUAACUGAUCAGGUAGUGACGGUAUCCAACCAGAAAGCCACGGCUAACUACGUGCCAGCAGCCGCGGUAAUACGUAGGUGGCAAGCGUUGUCCGGAUUUAUUGGGCGUAAAGCGAGCGCAGGCGGUUUCUUAAGUCUGAUGUGAAAGCCUUCGGCUCAACCGAAGAAGUGCAUCGGAAACUGGGAAACUUGAGUGCAGAAGAGGACAGUGGAACUCCAUGUGUAGCGGUGAAAUGCGUAGAUAUAUGGAAGAACACCAGUGGCGAAGGCGGCUGUCUGGUCUGUAACUGACGCUGAGGCUCGAAAGCAUGGGUAGCAAACAGGAUUAGAUACCCUGGUAGUCCAUGCCGUAAACGAUGAGUGCUAGGUGUUGGAGGGUUUCCGCCCUUCAGUGCCGCAGCUAACGCAUUAAGCACUCCGCCUGGGGAGUACGACCGCAAGGUUGAAACUCAAAGGAAUUGACGGGGGCCGGCA